rnacentral:rRNA from 1 species
GUGGGGAAUUUUGGACAAUGGGCGCAAGCUUGAUCCAGCAAUGCCGCGUGCAGGAAGAAGGCCUUCGGGUUGUAAACUGCUUUUGUACGGAACGAAACGGUCCUGGUUAAUACCUGGGGCUAAUGACGGUACCGUAAGAAUAAGCACCGGCUAACUACGUGCCAGCAGCCGCGGUAAUACGUAGGGUGCGAGCGUUAAUCGGAAUUACUGGGCGUAAAGCGUGCGCAGGCGGUGCUGUAAGACAGGCGUGAAAUCCCCGGGCUCAACCUGGGAAUUGCGCUUGGGACUGGAGUGCUGGAGUACGGCAGAGGGGGAUGGAAUUCCGCGUGUAGCAGUGAAAUGCGUAGAUAUGCGGAGGAACACCGAUGGCGAAGGCAAUCCCCUGGGCCUGCACUGACGCUCAUGCACGAAAGCGUGGGGAGCAAACAGGAUUAGAUACCCCGGUAGUCC